rnacentral:lncRNA from 1 species
UCUCUCCCCACACCACACACCUUAGGGAGUCUUAGGUAAAAGGACAAGAUGAUAAUCAGCUCCCUGAAUGAUAUAUUGGCAGGUCGCCCUGUAGCAGGCAGGUGAGGGGACAGAUCUAAUGAAAGACAACCUUAGAAAACUGGUCUUUCUUCUCAAAGAUAAAAUGUCUCUCUUGUAGUCUUUCAUCAUUUUUCCCUUGGAGGAAGGCUUCCCUGGUUCCAACAUAUUUCCAUUAAAACAGUCGAAACUUCCUGCAUUAGGAUGUCAGAUGCAUCUCUUCCUCUAUGGUAAUCGGAAUUUUAAAUUAUACAGUUGCCUCUGAAUUUCUCCUUCACAAAGCCAAACCCCUGAUAAGUGAUAAAGCAGACAGCCACCAGCCAGCCACCAGCCUGCUGCUCCUGCCCGCACAAUGCACCGUAGGCAUUAGCACUUUCUAAAGCAAUGUGAUUCGUAUGAGUCUUAAAAGCUUUCUUCAUAAUGGACUCCUUGAAAUUUGUCAAGGCAGGUCUGAAUGGCAAAGGAAAAAUAAUUACUUGUGGGAGGUCCUCUUUCCGAAGAGCACCCAGUGGAGAAGAAAAUCCCUUGGUGGCAUCCAGGCUCGGGAAGGUUAUUUGGUGCCUGUCCCCCUCCCCACAACCCCCAGGUCUUGCUUUUGUGGAAGUGGACAGAGUAAGAAAUCAUCAGUAUCUUCUUUUGAGGGAGAUAGAAUGUCAUCAGCCUUUGAUGCAGUAGGGAGGGUUAAAUCACGGCACAGGAUUAAUGAUGCCAUCAGACCCACACAUGAAGAGUGGCAAGAGUAGAGCAGCCGCACCGCCAACUGCUGCUCAAUCAGCCCAGCAACAGGCAGCAUCAGGACAUGCUUUGAGGAUACCACUGGAAUAGACCAAAGGAACAAUCGCUGUAGGCAAGAAGCAGCUUUAAAGUCCCAGCCCAUCUGUCCUCCUAGGAAGCCAGAGUCCUCAGCCAAAAGCCUCGCUCCGCGGGUUGCCAUCCUCAGUGCAAAGUGUGUGGCUUUUGCUUCCUCACUAAAUAUAACAGGUUUAAAGCUGCCCUUGCUGAGAAAUCAGGAAAGGAAACAUAUGUUUAAGAAUUUAAAAAGAAAAA